GCGAGAAACCCUGCAAGUGAG
rnacentral:miRNA from 1 species